GAAUUGCGAUAAGUAAUGUGAAUUGCAGAAUUCAGUGAAUCAUCAAAUCUUUGAACGCACAUUGCGCUCUCUGGUAUUCCGGAGAGCAUGCCUGUUUGAGAAUCGAUAAACCCCUCACAAGUCAUGUUCUUGGUAAAACAAGUUCGUGAUCUCUGUGGAUAUGGAUCUUUUGCAACCUUUGGGUCCGCAAUGAUCUUAAAUUUAAUGUCUGCAGCUCUUGUUGUUACAACGAGCCCAAAGUGCAUGAAUGAAGCUUGCUUUAUCCUCACGUUGGUGUUUGUUGUCAAAAUGAUAAUGAGUUUGUUUGACUCAACCAUUACAUUGGAGGAUCACCAUUUGGUGCUCUUUCAAAAACUUGGUCUCAAAUCAGGUAGGAAAACCCGCUGAACUUAA
rnacentral:misc_RNA from 1 species